GACGAACGCUGGCGGCGUGCCUAAUACAUGCAAGUUGAGCGAUGAAGAUUGAUGCUUGCACCAAUUUGCAGAGCAGCGAACGGGUGAGUAACGCGUGGGGAAUCUGCCUUUGAGCGGGGGACAACAUUUGGAAACGAAUGCUAAUACCGCAUAACAACUUUAAACAUAAGUUUUAAGUUUGAAAGAUGCAAUUGCAUCACUCAAAGAUGAUCCCGCGUUGUAUUAGCUAGUUGGUGAGGUAAAGGCUCACCAAGGCGAUGAUACAUAGCCGACCUGAGAGGGUGAUCGGCCACAUUGGGACUGCGACACGGCACAGACUCCCACGGGAGGCAGCAGUAGGGAAUCGUCGGCAAUGGACGAAAGUCUGACCGAGCAACGCCGCGUGAGGGAAGAAGGUUGUCGGAUCGGAAAACUCUGUUGGUAGAGAAGAACGUUGGUGAGAGUGGAAAGCUCAUCAAGUGACGGUAACUACCCAGAAAGGGACGGCUAACUACGUG
rnacentral:rRNA from 1 species